UGUAAAUAAGGUAUUUUAGUUUUCGCUUUGUUUUUGCUUUGUCAUUAUUGGGAAUUUUGUGUAGAUUGAGAUUCUUAAAAAAAAAAAAAGUUUUAGAAUAAGGCAGUAACGUAACAAAAUGUGGGAAAAGUCUUUCUGAAUGCACUAUAAACAAGUUAGUGCUUUCAAUUAAUUAUUAAAUACGUCUUUUCAGUAUUUUGAAAUGGUUUUGGCUUGCUGAGGAUCUUUUUUUUUUUUUAAGCAAUAUAAUUUCUGUCCUCCCUCCUCUUUGUCUAAUAUUUAUCCUAGUCGCUCAUCCCAUACGCACCACCAGCCCAGACAGAGGCACAGCUAAACCCUUUUGAAAGCAGAAGAUUCCUUCGGCAUUAAAGUUUGAACACUGACCCAGUUCUUCUGCCUCUGUGUUGGUACCAGAGUGUACUAGGGAGGGGAAACAUGGACUCUGGUUGGUCGCUUUCCUCCUGAGGUGUUCACUCGUCCAUUACUCCACACAAAUUUAAAAGCAUUUUGGAUCGGUGGAAACAACAUGGGCUAGACUAGAGGGAGUUUCCACCAUAUUUCAGUUCCUUUCAAGUCUGUGAAGGGAAGUGAACAAGUGCAAAUUUUGGGAGAUGGGAGAGAUAUUUGAGACACAGACUUAGGGAACCUAUUAGAGAGGAGAUGUUAGUUGGAGAGAGAACCAUAGGGAUCCUAUUAGAGAGGAGAUGUUAGUUGGAGAGAGAACCAUAGGGAUCCUAUUAGAGAGGAGAUGUUAGUCGGAGAGACAACCAUAGGGAUCCUAUUAGAGAGGAGAUGUUAGUUGGAGAGAGAACCAUAGGGAUCCUAUUAGAGAGGAGAUGUUAGUCGGAGAGAGAACCAUAGGGAUCCUAUUAGAGAGGAGAUGUUAGUUGAUGUUAGUUGGAGAGACAACGGGAAAACUACAAUCACCCAUACAAGCCUUGUGCCCAAUACAAUUCAAUACAACUUUAUUUGUCCGGCGUUACAUUAACAAUGUGUGUUCUGCUCCGCUGUCCUCUAAACCCGCCUUUCAGCCCCCUCUGUUGUCAGUGGAUUAUCAAUGGCUGUCUCCUCCUAAACCCGCCUUUCAGCCCCCUCCGUUGUCAGUGGAUUAUCAAUGGCUGUCUCCUCCUAAACCCGCCUUUCAGCCCCCUCCGUUGUCAGUGGAUUAUCAAUGACUGUCUCCUCUAAACCCGCCUUUCAGCUCCCUCUGUUGUCAGUGGAUUAUCAAUGGCUGUCUCCUCCUAAACCCGCCUUUCAGCCCNNNNNNNNNNAUAUAGGGAAUAGGGUUCUAUAGGGCUCUGGUCUAAAGUAGUGCACUAUAUAGGAAAUAGGGUUCUAUAGGGCUCUGGUCUAAAGUAGUGCACUAUAUAGGGAAUAGGGUUCUAUAGGGCUCUGGUCUAAAGUAGUGCACUAUAUAGGGAAUAGGGUUCUAUAAGGCCCAGAUCUAAAGUAGUGCACUAUAUAGGGAGUAGGGUUCCAUUUGGGACACAUAUUCGGGCUAUACUGUUAUACAGUGCAAUAUUGAUAUUUUCUCCGCUGGCCCCGUAGAAUGCUAUAUGUGUACCAGUCCCAUUUAAAGGUUAUAGGGGUCAUAUUUGUCAUAAUUACUGAUGUUUGAAGGCCAUGUAUAAGAGGUGAUAUAAGGAUUGGAUGACUAUCUUCACUGUAUGUUAUGGGGUUAUGUUUACAUUGAAAUACUGCAGGUGUUCUGUCAAAUCCUGUCUUGUUUAAAUGUUUCCAAUUUGAAUGGCCCUUGACACCUCUGAUGGUGUCUGUCUGUGUGCAUUCUGAUAAGCGAUCGUACAGUUUGCAGAAUAUAUUACAAUAUCGUCGUGUAUGUUUAUCUAUGCAAAGAAAUAUAUGAUAUGGGAUUGGGCGGCAGCCUGAAAACAUUGAUCUCACUGAAAUAUGAAAUUGUGAUGAAAAAAUGGCUAUAAAAAAGACGACAUAAAAUUAAGAUAAACCAAUGAAUUACUACUAUCUUUUGACUUUCUUCAAAAAAUAAAUCAACACUCAUUGAAAAAUAAUCAUAUGUGUUUUAAAAUGUUUAUUUAUUUUUUCACUAUUUAAAUGUACACUCUGACUCUGAACUGUUUCAGAACUUUUCAGGAAAAAAAUACACAGAAAUCCCUAAAUAACAAACCAGUUGAAACGAUCACUGAAGGGAUCGAACACCCUGCAAAUAACUAGACACACAGAAUGUACACUGUUCAAAGCAACCACUGUUUGAGUUUCACAAAAAAACGGACCACAAUAGUUUCCUGUUUGUUUGGGUUAAUGAUUGUUAUAAAGGAAUUACUGCUGGGUCGUAUUCAUUAGGAGAUGGAACGGAAAACGUUUCAAAAUGUUUUAAAAACGUGUUACUUAUUGGAUUAAUUUCAACAGGUCCCUCCCUUGUUUCAGUCCGUUUACUUCCGUUUUUGCUGCCUAAUGAACAUGACCCUGUUGUUUGUUCCAUGUUGGACACCAUAGUUUCCUCCCAUUGUGCUCAGUGAGUUCCAUUGGCAGCCAUUGGUCCAGCUGUGUUCUGUCAGGAAGCACAUCGACAUCUCCGUAAGCUGUCAGUCAGUAGGCAGUGUGUUUUUGUAGUUGGUUUCAUAAACAUGUUGGUCCCUUAAUAACAGUAAUUACCAUAUUUAAUAUUACAAAUGAUGUAAACUGGGGAAUAACCCUUGACUUAAAGCCUGCAGGUAUAAUGAAUUAUAAGACUUAAUACAGCGUUGUCUCAGUAUCAUCUCAUUGUGACCAAAUAACAGUCAUUUAGAGCCAUUUUAAAGUGGGUUGUACAUUUUACACAGAAACAUAGCAUAUUAUAAACCUUAUAAUAAGACAUUAUACAGAUAUAUACAUGCUUUAUAACAAGUAAUAAAACAUAAUACCUGCAAGCUAAAAGGGAUACCAAAUGAUGCUUUUACAACCAAUUACACUGCUUGGACAAAACAUUAGGAACACCUGCUCUUUCCAUAACAGACUGACCAGGUGAAUCCAGGUGAAAGCUAUGAUCCCUUGUUGAUGUCACUUGUUAAAUCCACUUCAAUCAGUGUAGUUGAAGGGGAGGAUUUUUAAGAAUUGAGACAUGGAUUGUGUGUGUGUGCCAUUCUGAGUGUGAUAAAAGAUAGAAGUGCCUUUGAACAGGGGUAUGUUAGUAGGUGCCAGGUGCACCAGUUUGUGUCAAGAACUGCAACGCUUCUGGGUUCUUUCCGAGCUCAACAGUCUCCCCUGUGAAUCAAGAAUGGUCCACCACCCAAAGGACAUCCAGCCAACUUGACACAACUGUGGGAAGCAUUGGAGUCAACAUGGGCCAGCAUCCCUGUGGAACGCUUUCAACACCUUGUAGAGUCAACAUGGGCCAGCAUCCCUGUGGAACGCUUUCAACACCUUGGAGAGUCAACAUGGGGCCAGCAUCCCUGUGGAACGCUUUCAACACCUUGUAGAGUCAACAUGGGGCCAGCAUCCCUGUGGAACGCUUUCAACACCUUGGAGAGUCAACAUGGACCAACAUCUCUGUGGAAGGUUUUAGACACCUUGUAUAGUCCAUCGUGCCCUGAAUAAUUGAGGCUGUUCUGAGGGCAAAGUGUUCCUAAUGUUUUGUACUCUUUUUGUAUUUUCAACUUUUUUGAAUGAUACCCACUAUGCAUUUUUGGGGUUUGUUAUACUGCCUUGCCUGCCUAAGCUUUCAGAUGUUGUACUACUGAUUUAUUGAUAUGACUGACAGCUGAACGACUAGACUGACUAGUCUUUCAUGUUAGUUUAAACAAAUUCCCCCUGGUAUGACUCAGUAAAUUAGAGGCACUUUUCCACUACGAUGAAGUGACAGUGUUCUGGCUAUGAUUUUAUUUACAGUAGGUUGGUUCACCUAUUAAGUGCCCUCACAUGCUGAGAGUUUAAAAAAAUAAAAUAAAAAAAAUGUUGGUCGGAAAAUAUAGGCCUACUGUUGCUAAUUGGUAUUUUACACCUACAACCAUGACAUUGAAUAAGAAAGAUAUAGACAUCGUUGUUCAACUGCAAUCUUGUGUUGAUACUUGAUAGGCUAAAUGUGUGUGUGACGUUUCUAUCAGGAAGUUAGCCCUAAAGUGGAAUUUGUUUAAACAACACAGUUGUAGGUGUGUAACUGACGUUUCUAUCAGGAAGUUAGCCCUAAAGUGGAAUUUGUUUAAACAACACAGUUGUAGGUGUGUAACUGAUGUUUCUAUCAGGAAGUUAGCCCUAAAGGGGAAUUUGCUUAACCAACGAAGUUGUAGGUUUUUAACUGACCGCUUUGUAAUAGCAAAUCUGGUAGUUGUAAUGCCUUGGCUUAGUGAUCAACAGCAAAGAAAUGACUGGUCUGUUUUAGAAAUAAUUAUAUUGCACAUUUUUUUGUGUGUUUGGUCUCCUAUGUGGACAACCAGUAUUUAAAUCCUAACUUUAUCUCAGUAAGUAUAAUGGAAGGAAUUGUUUUAUUUCACAGGUGCAAACAGUCCAAAAGGCUUAUAAUUAUUAUUAUGUGACAAUGACAGUGCAACUUCANNNNNNNNNNNNNNNNNNNNNNNNNNNNNNNNNNNNNNNNNNNNNNNNNNNNNNNNNNNNNNNNNNNNNNNNNNNNNNNNNNNNNNNNNNNNNNNNNNNNNNNNNNNNNNNNNNNNNNNNNNNNNNNNNNNNNNNUUGCAGUGAUCUUGACUGACAGAAAGCACUCAAAUCUCCUGGACUCCCUCACUCACCUCUGUGUCCCAAAUGGCGCCCCUAAUUCCCUUUUGUAGGGCACAUGUCUCUUAGGGCUCUGGUCUAAAGUAGUGCACUAUAUAGAGGGAAUAGGGUUCUAUAGGGUUCUGGUCUAUAGUAGUGCACUAUAUAGAGGGAAUAGGGUUCUAUAGGGUUCUGGUCUAUAGUAGUGCACUAUAUAGGGAAUAGGGUUCUAUAGGGCUCUGGUCUAAAGUAGUGCGCUAUAUAGGGAAUAGGGUUCUAUAGGGCUCUGGUCUAAAGUAGUGCACUUAUAUAGGGAAUAGGGUUCUAUAGGGCUCUGGUCUAAAGUAGUGCACUAUAUAGAGGGA
rnacentral:lncRNA from 13 species